CCAAUUUGUACUAAUGCUGAGAAAUUUAAUAAUGAGAUUGGAUUCAAUAUUCGGAAUCAUGGUACAUUUCAUUAUAAAGAGUGGAGAAUGGUCCCUGAAGAUGUGAGAGCUCCAUUGCGACACUAUCUUUUGGAACAUUUUGACAUCAACUUGAAUGAUGAGACAACUAAAAAAUGCAUUGAUGAGCAAAUGAGAAAAGCUUGGAAGGGUCAUAAGUACAAGCUGCACUUAUAUUUCAAAUAAAUUGGAGGAGAAAAUGAUCUUGAGAUGGCCAAGAGCAAACGUCAUCCAGACUUAAAAGAAGAACAUCAAGAAGAUUGGAUGAUUUUGUGUGAUCGUUGGUGUUCUUCUGAAUUUAAGGAAAGAGCAUUAAAGAAUACUACCAAUCGAUCAAAGAGGAAAUGGGAGUCAAAAAAUGGUUCAGUCUCCACACCACGACAUCACAUUCGACGUGGAAUGGUGUUAACUUCUCCUACCGGUCAAAUUGAGACAUGGCGUCUAAAGCAUUAUGAUGCUGAGAAAGGAUGGACUGGAAUAGAGCUCGAGCCAUUAUAUGUAAGUAAUUUAAAUUUUUAUUUAUUAUAUUUCUUACUAAUAAUUAAUUAAAUAUAUUAUUAGGAUAAAAUGAUGGAGUUAAGGGGUCAACAUCCUCCAGAAGAACUGUCUGAUAAAGAGAUUAUGGAGUGUGUACUUGAACGUGAUUCGGUAUACUUGCGAGGGUGGGGGCGGUCACCUAGUGUCACAACUUCUACUUCACAUCGUGAAAAUAUUGUGGGUAACCAACCAACUUAUGAAGAGUUAGUUGAACGACUUAAUGAUACAACUUCCCGCCUUAAUGCUACUAAUGAACAACUUAGUGUGGUUGUGGAUAUACUUCGUCAUAACAAUUUGAUGGCACCGCCUCCACCACCUCCAACAGACCAAGCUACAAAUGCAAAUUUAAGAGAGUCGCCAUCUUUUUCAGUUCGGGAGUCACAAGAUGAUUCUUAGUUUAUUUACAUUAAUUUACUAAGGAAUGAACUUUAUGAAGUUUUUUUUAUUUUGGUAGGGGUAACCUUAAAAUGAUAACUUUAUGACUUAUUUUAGUAUUGAACAUUAUAAAGAAUUUUAGCAUUAAACA